GAUGAAGAACGCAGCGAAAUGCGAUAAGUAAUGUGAAUUGUAGAAUUCAGUGAAUCAUCGAAUCUUUGAACGCACAUUGCGCCCUCUGGUAUUCCGGAGGGCAUGCCUGUUCGAGCGUCAUUAUAACCACUCAAGCUCUCGCUUGGUAUUGGGGUUCGCGGUUCCGCGGCCCCUAAAAUCAGUGGCGGUGCCUGUCGGCUCUACGCGUAGUAAUACUCCUCGCGAUUGAGUCCGGUAGGUCUACUUGCCAGCAACCCCCAAUUUUUACAGGUUGACCUCGGAUCAGGUAGGGAUACCCGCUGAACUUAAGCAUAUCAAUAAGCGGAGGA
rnacentral:misc_RNA from 1 species